CUUAUAUAACCAGCAGUGCUACCAACGCAGAAACGAGAGCCAUCCUGAAGGCUGUUGUGAGCAGCAUCUAAGCGAGCGGCGGAUUACGGCAGCGGUCUACUGCAGGGAACGGCGACUUUCUUUUCUUGCCGGUUAUGCCGCCCAGGAGCUCUCUCAACAAUGCCAUGGACUAACCCGAGCCGGUGGCAAGUGACCUGCUACAGCAGAUGACACUCCGUACGCUACUAUCGCAACAGCUCUCCAGCACUUCAGCAGUCCUCGGACGCCUGCUGUGCCUGAACAUGAUGGUACCGACGCUUUCUAGCCACAGCGACCCGGUCAGAAGACUUCCUUGACGACGAUGCUUGCCUCAAACGGCAGUUAGUCGGACUAGGUCGAACGGCUAGAGUACCGUUCGGAGUCGGAGGAAGAGUACCGUUCGGUGCUCCUGGCUGACUCCCCUUCCGGUGACAUCUUUCACGUUUCAGAAGUUUGGGUGCCGGCUCGUCCAGGGGACAUUAGCAGGUGGUAGAUAGCGGUUUUCGGAAGCGUCAUCUUUUUUUCCUUUGAGCUUUUGUUUAUUCACUGCUUCCCACUGUUUCUUCUCUUGCAAGUCAUGCAAUUCCAGCCCCCUCGACAGUACCAUGGACGAACCUGCGGCACAGAACCUACCACAGCAGAUGCUUCUACUCCGUACGCUGUCGCAAUAGCUCGGCAUCAGCUCCACAGUUCUCGGACACCCACUGCCCCUGAACUUGACGGUACCGACGCUUUCCAGCCAGUGACCAAAGGGUGCUAUCCGCACCGCAGUGUGACACCUUACACUUGCCAGACAUUUGAAAAGCUAUGAGGGAGUGUUAUCGCUGAUGGCCCCAUUUAGACAUGGUCUUCCUUUUCUACUGCGAGGGAACCUGAAGCUUGUUCUGCCGUACCUCGGACGGCUGGCAGCGAACAGAUUACGACGCAGUGGUCCCCUGCAGGAAACGGCGGUGUAUGCAAAUAAACAUGCUACUGUUGGUUAA